UACAGAGGGUGCGAGCGUUGUCCGGAAUCACUGGGCGUAAAGGGCGCGUAGGUGGCCCGACAAGUCCGUGGUGAAAGCUCGACGCUCAACGUCGAGUCGGCCAUGGAUACUGUUGGGCUGGAGCACUGUAGAGGCUCAUGGAAUUCCGGGUGUAGCGGUGGAAUGCGUAGAGAUCCGGAAGAACACCGGUGGCGAAGGCGGUGAGCUGGGCAGUUGCUGACACUGAGGCGCGACAGCGUGGGGGAGCAAACAGG
rnacentral:rRNA from 1 species